GACGAACGCUGGCGGCGUGCUUAACACAUGCAAGUCGAGCGGUAAGGCCCUUUCGGGGGUACACGAGCGGCGAACGGGUGAGUAACACGUGGGUGACCUGCCCUCAGCUCUGGGAUAAGCCUGGGAAACCGGGUCUAAUACUGGAUAUGACUCCAUGACGCAUGUUGUGGGGUGGAAAGCCUUGUGCGGCUGAGGAUGGGCCCGCGGCCUAUCAGCUUGUUGGUGGGGNGAUGGCCUACCAAGGCGACGACGGGUAGCCGGCCUGAGAGGGCGACCGGCCACACUGGGACUGAGACACGGCCCAGACUCCUACGGGAGGUAGCAGUGGGGAAUCUUGCGCAAUGGGCGAAAGCCUGACGCAGCGACGCCGCGUGAGGGAUGACGGCCUCGGUUGGUAAC
rnacentral:rRNA from 1 species